UACGGAGGGUGCAAGCGUUAUCCGGAUUCACUGGAUUUAAAGGGUGCGUAGGUGGGCAGGUAAGUCAGUGGUGAAAUCUCCGGGCUUAACCCGGAACUGCCGUUGAUACUAUUUGUCUUGAAUAUUGUGGAGGUAAGCGGGAAUAUGUCAUGUAGCGGUGAAAUGCUUAGAUAUGACAUAGAACACCAAUUGCGAAGGCAGCUUACUACACAACGAUUGACGCUGAGGCACGAAAGCGUGGGGAUCAAACAGG
rnacentral:rRNA from 1 species